UGUCCGGCUCUCGGUAUGGCCAGCAUUAUGGGUUUCGGAGACCUGAAAAGCCCCGCCGGCCUCCAGGUGCUCAAUGAUUACCUGGCGGAGAGCUACAUUGAGGGGUAUGUGCCAUCACAAGCAGAUGUGGCAGUGUUUGAAGCAGUCUCCGGUCCCCCACCUGCCGACUUGUGUCACGCCUUACCUUGGUAUAAUCACAUCAAGUCUUAUGAAAAGGAAAAGGCCAGCCUGCCAGGAGUGAAGAAAGCUUUGGGCAAGUAAGGCCCUGCUGAUGUGGAAGACACUACAGGAAAUGGAGGGACAGAUAGUAAAGAUGACGAUGACAUUGAUCUCUUUGGAUCUGAUGAUGAAGAGGAAAGUGAAGAAGCAAAAAGACUACGGGAAGAACGUCUUGCACAGUAUGAAUCAAAGAAAGCCAAAAAACCUGCUCUUGUUGCCAAGUCUUCCAUUUUAUUAGAUGUGAAACCUUGGGAUGAUGAGACAGAUAUGGCAAAAUUAGAGGAGUGUGUCAGAAGCAUUCAAGCAGACGGCUUGGUCUGGGGAUCCUCUAAACUAGUUCCAGUGGGAUAUGGAAUUAAAAAACUUCAAAUACAGUGUGUAGUUGAAGAUGACAAAGUAGGAACUGAUAUGCUGGAGGAACGGAUCACUGCUUUUGAGGAUUAUGUGCAGUCUAUGGACGUGGCUGCUUUCAACAAGAUCUGAGAUCCAUCUGCACUUAAAAUAAAAGCUUGAAAGAUUAAAAAAAAAAAAAA